ACUGGGAUCAGCACUGGCCCCUGGCAGGCAGGCGGCAGCCAGGUGGGGUUAUAGCCAGAGCACGCACGCACGGAGCCGGGAGCAUGCAGCCUGCACUGCGGGGGAUGUGAUGCUCGGCUCUAACUCGCCUGGCUGGCCCGCGACGGACGCCUCAGCUUGCAACCAUGGUAACGUUUCUGGCGGGGGACACCCCCGGGAGCCCACUGCGAUGGGCAGCCUCCUGGUGACUGAUGGACGAGUGUCCACCUCCCUGACCGAGAGCGCUUAGUAGGUCGGAGGAAGUGGAGAGGAUGUAACACGCCCCCAGCCGGGAGUGAAGCCCUGAGGAGCUCCUCCCCCCUUCGUUCCCACCCUCAAGUCUGACGAUGACACCUCCAAUUUUGAUGAACCAGAGAAGAAUUCGUGGGUUUCAUCCUCUCCGUGCCAGCUGAGCCCCUCAGGUUUCUCGGGUGAAGAACUGCCGUUUGUGGGGUUUUCGUACAGCAAGGCACUGGGGAUUCUUGGUAGAUCUGAGUCUGUUGUGUCGGGUCUGGACUCCCCUGCCAAGACUAGCU
rnacentral:sRNA from 1 species